rnacentral:lncRNA from 1 species
GGAAACACUUCAACAUUGCAUUUCAUGGGCGUCCGGAUUACGUACUGGAAACAGUGUCUUUUGAAGAUAAAAGAAAAAUAUUGCAACUUAUGGGCAAAAUUGUUCAGAGCGGUUCAUAUGGGAGACCUGAAGAGUCCUGCUUCGGCAGACCCACAGUACUCGAUGUGAUACAUGAAGGACUUCUGGAUUUGCAGGAAGAUGGUUUGGCAUCUGUGAAAUGGGUGACAUACCUGGUACAGCUACGUGAAGGAGAAUUGAGUUUGUCCUGCAUUGGCCACAGUGGAGAAGACAAGAAUGUGGCCACUGUAGCAAAUACGAUUCAUUUGUCAGGUGGCAAUGUCAGAGUCUAUAAAGGGAAUGAAUGCAGUACCUUUACAGUCCAGACCAAAGAACACAAUUAUUUGUAAGUAUAGC